UACAUAGGGGGCAAGCGUUGUCCGGAUUUAUUGGGCGUAAAGAGCGUGUAGGCGGCCUUACAGGUCAGCUGUGAAAACUCGAGGCUCAACCUCGAGACGUCGGUUGAAACCGUAUGGCUAGAGUCCGGAAGAGGAGAGUGGAAUUCCCGGUGUAGCGGUGAAAUGCGCAGAUAUCGGGAAGAACACCCGUGGCGAAGGCGGCUCUCUGGGACGGUACUGACGCUGAGACGCGAAAGCGUGGGGAGCGAACAGG
rnacentral:rRNA from 1 species